AACGCGAAGAACCUUACCAGGUCUUGACAUCUUCUGCCAAUCUUAGAGAUAAGACGUUCCCUUCGGGGACAGAAUGACAGGUGGUGCAUGGUUGUCGUCAGCUCGUGUCGUGAGAUGUUGGGUUAAGUCCCGCAACGAGCGCAACCCUUAUUAUCAGUUGCCAGCAUUCAGUUGGGCACUCUGGUGAGACUGCCGGUGACAAACCGGAGGAAGGUGGGGAUGACGUCAAAUCAUCAUGCCCCUUAUGACCUGGGCUACACACGUGCUACAAUGGACGGUACAACGAGUUGCGAAGUCGUGAGGCUAAGCUAAUCUCUUAAAGCCGUUCUCAGUUCGGAUUGUAGGCUGCAACUCGCCUACAUGAAGUUGGAAUCGCUAGUAAUCGCGGAUCAGCAUGCCGCGGUGAAUACGUUCCCGGGCCUUGUACACACCGAGCGGGGGG
rnacentral:rRNA from 2 species